GCUGUGAUGUAUUUUCUUAUUUGCUUCUCGUCCGAUCACCAAAGUUAAGCAAUUUCGGGCCCGGUCAGUACUUGGGAGGGUGACCACCUGGGGUGGUGUAGACU